rnacentral:rRNA from 1 species
UUUAUGGAGAGUUUGAUCCUGGCUCAGGACGAACGCUGGCGGCAUGCCUAAUACAUGCAAGUCGAGCGAAUCACUAGGAGCUUGCUCCUAGUGAUUAGCGGCGGACGGGUGAGUAACACGUGGGCAACCUGCCCUGCAGAUGGGGAUAACUCCGGGAAACCGGGGCUAAUACCGAAUAAUCAGUUCCUUCGCAUGAAGGAACUCUGAAAGACGGUUUCGGCUGUCACUGCAGGAUGGGCCCGCGGCGCAUUAGCUAGUUGGUGGGGUAAUGGCCUACCAAGGCAACGAUGCGUAGCCGACCUGAGAGGGUGAUCGGCCACACUG